UCUGGGGGCAGGGCAGCGGGAGAGGAGUGGUGAGGCUGGUGCCUCCUGAGAACGCUGGUCCAGCCGCCGUCUGCCCCUCACAGCCCUGCCCCUGUCCCCCAUCUCUCGUGCCCCUCCCGGCGUCCCUCCCUUGCUUCAGCACCUCUGGCCGUUGCCCACCAAAAGGAAACCCAGCUAUUCGUACUGGGCACGACGUCUGCCUGUCUGGCUUAUCAGGUGCAGAAGUGUUGACUGAAUAUCCUGGACAAAUGCUGUAUAGGAAAAGCCACCUCUUCUCCAGGGCUGCAGGUAACGUUGUGAGGGACCCCACGGAGAAGACCCAGAUUCUCUGUAAACGCAGAGAAUUGCCCCCCGGUUCUCUGGGUACGCUCACGGGCCACCUCCCCAUUCACCAGCCCUGUGUGGUGGAGGAAGGCAGCGUGGUUCACGCUAACGCCACUUGUGGUCUUUUACAUUAAUGUUUUUCUAGGCACAGUUACUGUCUUCAAAAA